ACAACACAACGUUAAGAGCAGCCCUGAGGCGGGCAUCGGCUGAUCCCAACAGCAGUGAGAUCCUACAAUACAAACCCUAUUCAUUGGUCCUGGGGGUAGCAGGCUCCACUGCCUCCCGGAUGAUUUUAGCAGGCAAGCAGUGCUUGCGCAUGACAAGCAGUUGAGUUCAACGUGAGGCGAGACUAAAACUGAUGCACCCUGGGAACAAGCUAAAUUGUUCUCCUGGGCAGGCACACUGCUAUCUCAGGGAAGACAGCUUCGUGGAAGGGGAAGGUUAUCUGAGCUGUGUAAAGAGGGAAAGUCAAUUUCCCUCUCUGAUCCUUCCUCAUCUGUAACCCGGGGGACCUUCAGACCUAACUCUGGCUCCCACACUACCUGUUAGGUGCCCUGGAAGGCCACUGCAAAUUCGCAAAGAGUGCCUGGGAGGUUGUACAUUUUCAAAUGCAAUCCCAGGACAUCCAUGAGACACCAGGUGAACUUGAAGCUUGAAGCAGUUCAGGCUUCCAACAUCAGAUUACCACAUCUCUUGUGAUGAUGUGACCACUUUGCAAAGCUGUUUUUCAGAGUACCCUGAUAAAAAGCAAACACCAAGGAACUUCAUGUGAAACAGAAACUAGGUUAGUGGUCUCCAAUCUGAUCCCAAGAUUUGAGAGGUGGUGCUGUGCCCCAUAGGUGUUACAUUGUUAAGGCAUAAAUACGUAUUAAAGUGUUUUGAUCUAUUUAAAAAGAGAGGCUUGGGUAUUAUUUCUUUUGGCGAGGGGCUCUGUGAAAAAUUUCCUGAGAUACUAACGUGCUACGAACCAAGGAAGUUUCGGAACCUCUAACCUAACUCAGUAGGCUUCAAUGAAGACCGAAUAAGAUGAUGUCUGGGAGAGUACUUCGAAAAGUUGAAGGCAGAAGUUGGCAAACUUUCUGUAAAGGGCCAGGCAACUACUCACUUCUGUUGAUGUAGCAUGCAUUGAAGGCGUCAAAUGGAUGGGCAUGUUUGCUAAAAUAACUUAUUUACAAAAACAGUUGGUGGACUGGAUUUGGCCACCUAGGUCAUAGUUUGCUAACUUCUGGUCUAAAGUGUGUCCUAGAGUGCAUGAAAGAAGCUGGAGAAAAAUCACCAUGGAGUUUAAUCCUGGUUUUGCCUCUCAUGGAAAGAAGAGAGACAACUAAAGCCUCAAUCCAGGUAAAGAAGCAUUCUUGCAAGUCCAUCCAUGUAAGUAUGUGAAAAGUGGGCCCUUUCCCUGAAAUUAUCCAGAUCCUGAUUUCAUUUACAUUUUGUUUUAUGAUUUUGGGGAAAUUCCAUCAGUAACCUAGCAGGUUUAUUUCCUAUCUUUAGGAAAUAUACAGAUAGUAAAUUGUGCAGUUCGUAUCUGCAGAGCUUUCAUUCUUGGUCAUCUUUUUAUAACAUCUUAUCAAAGAUAACUGCAACAAACAGGUCUGGGGACAAGAACAGGGAAGCAUAAGACCAGUUUCAUUGCAGCUAUAAAAAUAACCCUUUGUUUCCCAUUGUACUUUGCAAGCAGGCGGCACUCUGCAUGUCCUGGAAAGGUUGGGUCUGCUGACCUUGGAGGGUUUUUUAUGAUCAGUAAGGAGCAGGGACAUAUAUGGCCCCCGGUGAAACCUUGGGUGAGCUGGGCCCUCCAUACAAGGCUCAUGAGACAAGUCAUCUCACUUGGGCCUUGCAGGGUCCGGUGAAAUGAGUGUAAUCCCCCCACUUUACAGACCAACAAACUGAGGUUCAAAGAGGCUAAUAAACUGGCCCAAGGACGUACAAUGAGUAAGUGGUUAUGUCACUUCACAUGUUUAGCCUUUCCCAGUAUCAUCUGUCAAAGGGUCUACAAGAUUCUCUUCAAAACUUGCACAACCCCACCCCUCUGGGAAGGCACCAGAAAGCCUGAGCCAGCUCUCCUGGGAAGCUGCAGGACACUGAGUGUGCCUGCAUCCAGUGGCAGCAGUGCACAGGGUGAGCGAGCAGCACCAGGCACUUCUCCCUCCAUGGCAGGGUCUACACGUCCCCCAGUGCACAUCUCAAGCUCAUACGAUACACACUGCCAAGUCCAUUUUGAAUUCCAUGGCCUGAAUCAUUAACUUUCAAAGCCAAAGCAUUUAAAAGAUAAAAUUAUCCUCUUGGCACUUCUCCAACUGCGCUCUUGACCUCCUCUGUUAGGCUACAGUUUUGUUUCUGGCUGUGCAAAUGUCACAUAAUGCCACUGCACCCGGCAGUAUCUUCCUCAUAGCAACAGAUCAUAAUAAAAGUCCCUCGGAGGCUGUUUGUGUUUCAAAUACACAUGGAAUGAAAGAAAAAUGCAGUGUGCUAUAUAAAGCGAGAGAAAUGCAUAAGCUUCAUCUUUCAUUUGCAGCCAAUUUGUUUUAAUAAGCUUUUAUGCUGAGAGGUGAAUAAUUAGCAUAUGUUCUUAAUUAAGAUUGUUCUAGAGGAGUAGAGUGCUCCAGGUCAUUAAAAAUGGUUUUGUGUCUCAAUGUCUUAAUUCUCUUAUCCUCUCAUCAGUCAAAAUACUUACAAGAAAUGAGAAUAGGUGUUUAGAUUUUUGUAUUUGCAUAAAUAAAUAUUGGAAGGAAAAAUAAGGAAUUCAUUAAAAUGGUUAUCAGCACUGAUGGUAGACGCAGGGUAAAGGGGAAGGAAUGGGAUCAGGAUUUCCUUAUGUAUAAUUUUAAUUUUGACUUUAGAAACAGGUAAAUGUAUUACCUGCUUCAAACUGAUGGAUGGAUAGACAGAAAGAGCAGCAAACCAACAAGCCUGCAGCUCUCAGGCCUCCCACCUCUGGCCUUGCAUUUUCUUAAGUGUGUCAGGGUUAUAAGGAAAUCAGACAAAAAUACAGGUAAAUGUGUGCAGAUGCUCCCCCAUGUUUUAAGGGGGGCCCUUCACAAAAUAAGCCUCAGGGAACGUAGUGAUGUGGUCUGUGUGUGAGACGUCACCAUGUAGGCUGAGCUGACAUUACCCUUGUGUAAUGAGCUACAAGUGAGUCUUUUUUUUUUUUUUUUUUUUAGAGAUGGAGUUUUGCUCUGUCACCCAGGCUGGAGGGCAAUGACACCAUCAUGGGUCACUGGAGCCUGGAGCUCCUGGGCUCACAUGAUCCUUCCACCUCAGCCUCCCAGGGAGCUGGGACUACAGGCACACACCAAUAUGGUGGGCUCACAAACACUUGGUCGGAAGCAUCGGAAGCCGGAACUUCUAACUGGCAUCUCAAGUGGAAGUGGUCUUGUGCGCCUUAAUCUGUGAGUGCUGUGCCAACUCCAGGUGGUGUCAGGACUGAAGUGAACUAACUGUAGGACGCCCAGCUGGUUUCCAAGAAUUGGUCGAUGUGGGAGAAACGCCCCGCUUUGGUGUCAGAAGUGUUGUCUCUCACUAAAUUAUGGAGACUACUGCAAAAUUCAAUAAAUGCUCACACUGGAAAGGACAGUGGAAAAUCCCAAACUUUUAAAGCUUGCCCAGGAAUAGGAAAGCUUUCUUCCAGGCUGUUAGUCUCAUGGCUUACCCACUAGGUCCCAUUCUCCAUUGGGGAUAUAGCCACUGAUAUCUGCCUCCUGCAUCUGCAGAUCCAAGGACCAGCCUCCAUAAGACCAGGACCCAAACUUCAGUUUGCAAUGCUGCACAUCAAAGGGAAACCAGCGUACAUCGAUGUAGCAGGAACUCUUGAAUAUGCCUGUGUGGGUGAUGGAAACAGAAGACUGAAACGGAAGCUGACUGAGAUGUGCUGAAAAUACACAGCAGUUCCUUCAGCCGGUUCCGCCCUCCGCACUGCAGCUAACACAGUCCAGAGCAAACUGAAUCUUUUUAUUUAUUCGCAAAAUCUGUAAAACAGAAUCUCAGCUAAGCUUCACUGUCUUUUAAAAUCCAAACGUAACACUGACAUGCUCUGUCAAAGACUGUUUUGUGGGCUUUUUCUGCAAAGAGUUAGCUCUAUAAUCUUGCAUUUACCAUGAGCAUCUUCAGACUCUUAAAUGAUAAAAGUAAAGAAUGCAAAACAUCUCAGGGAAGUUGAUAACACUGACGAUGAAGUUAGAAAUAGAAUCUAAAAGGGGUGUGUGUGUGUGUGUGUGUGUGUGUUUGGUGCGGGGUGAGGUAGGCAUUUUCUUUAGGUUAAAAAUGGGAAGAACACAUGAUUAUCAAGAAAUACAAUCUAGAAUUCUGGUUAAAGCUAGAAUUUUAACUAAUUUACAUUCUAGAUCAAGAACAGAACAAGCUGGGCACAGUGUCUCAUGCCCAUAAUCCCAGUGACUCAAGACACUGAGGUGGGAGAGUCACUUGAGACUAGGAGUUUGAAACCGGACUGGGCGACAUAGUGAGACAUCUCUAAUAAAAAAAUUAGCUGGGUGAGGUGACGCAUGCCUGUAGUCCCAGCUACUCAGAAGGCUAAGGCAGGAGCAUUGCUUGAGCCCAGGAGUUUGAGGCUAAAGUGAAGUGAGCUAUGAUCGAGCCCCUGCACUCCAGCCUGGGGAACACACCUAGAAUCUGUCUGUAAGAAGAAAAAAAGUUGUUAAAAAAAAAAAAAAAAAAAAAAAAAACAAGAACAGAUAAGUUUAAGCUGAAGAGAUGGUGCUUGAAGGAAGAGUUUCCGCUGAAAAGAGCUAUUCCAGGCUAGGACAGGUUGGAAGUGGAUUUCCCAGAGGGCCAAGGGGAGGAAACCAGAAGAGGCCACUCCAGUUAUUUACACUCAUGUGCUCUUCCCUGCCCAGAGGAAGGCUGCAUAGCACAAGAAGACAGGCACAGACUCAGUGUCCAAGUGUUCCUGGGGCAGGGCUGGCACUCUGCAAACUUCUGCUACUGAGUUACAGAACGAACACACGCAGGAAGGGCCUCCACGGCCUUGCAGACAAGGACCCCACCUCACAACCGAGUUGGGAAAAGAUACACAUUUUGUCCCCUGAAGUUCCUUUAAGUAUGCUUUGCGUCCUUACAUGAAAUGUUUAUAGGAAUCUGGAAUCAUCACAGACAAUCCCCCUCCAUUAAUAGUUGAUCCCCCCAAAACCCACAUUGUCUGCCAGUUAGUUAGAAAGCUUUGUAACUUCAUGAGCCCAUUUCUACGAAAUGGCCCGAGACAGAGAAUUUCUAGAGACAAAGCAGAUCAGUGGUUGCUGGGAGUAGGAAUGGGAAUUAACUGCAAACAAGCAAAAGGGAUCUUUGUGGGGUGAUGGGAAUGUUCUAAAACUAGACUGUGGUAAUGAUUGCAUAAUUCUGUAAAUACACUAAAAAUUGUUGAAUCAUGUUCUUAAAAUGCAUGAUAUGUAAAUUCUCAAUAAAGCUGUUAAAAAAUAAACACAUGAAA